ACGGACUUCGGUCUGGUGGCAAGUGGCGAACGGGUGAGUAAUGUAUCGGAACGUACCUUUCAGUGGGGGAUAACGUAGCGAAAGUUACGCUAAUACCGCAUAUUCUGUGAGCAGGAAAGCAGGGGAUCGCAAGACCUUGCGCUGAUUGAGCGGCCGAUAUCAGAUUAGCUAGUUGGUGAGGUAAAGGCUCACCAAGGCGACGAUCUGUAGCGGGUCUGAGAGGAUGAUCCGCCACACUGGAACUGAGACACGGUCCAGACUCCUACGGGAGGCAGCAGUGGGGAAUUUUGGACAAUGGGGGCAACCCUGAUCCAGCCAUGCCGCGUGAGUGAAGAAGGCCUUCGGGUUGUAAAGCUCUUUCGGCCGGGAAGAAAUCGCAUAGGUUAAUACCCUGUGUGGAUGACGGUACCGGAAUAAGAAGCACCGGCUAACUACGUGCCAGCAGCCGCGGUAAUACGUAGGGUGCGAGCGUUAAUCGGAAUUACUGGGCGUAAAGCGUGCGCAGGCGGUUAUGUAAGACAGAUGUGAAAUCCCCGGGCUCAACCUGGGAACUGCGUUUGUGACUGCAUAACUAGAGUAC
rnacentral:rRNA from 1 species